UAUGUGAUCGUCUCUCGCAUAUCAAUAGCGGAGGAAAAGAAACCAACCGGGAUUGCCUCAGUAACGGCGAGUGAAGCGGCAAGAGCUCAAAUUUGAAAUCUGGCCCCUCCGGGGUCCGAGUUGUAAUUUGCAGAGGAUGCUUCGGGUGCGGCCCCUGUCUAAGUGCCCUGGAACGGGCCGUCAGAGAGGGUGAGAAUCCCGUCUUGGGCAGGGUGCCCGUGCCCGUGUGAAGCUCCUUCGACGAGUCGAGUUGUUUGGGAAUGCAGUCCAAAAUGGGUGGUAAAUUUCAUCUAAAGCUAAAUAUUGGCGAGAGACCGAUAGCGAACAAGUACCGUGAGGGAAAGAUGAAAAGAACUUUGAAAAGAGAGUUAAACAGUACGUGAAAUUGUCAAACGGGAAGCGUUUGACACCAGUGUUGUUUUUCUGAAAAUCAAUUAAAGAACUGUUUAUGCUAAGCUGUUUAGACUUUAUCAGCUAUCUGUUUAGUUUUGAGCCUUUCUUUAAUGCACUUUUCAGUUAACAAGUCAACAUCAAUUUCUUUUGCUGUAAAAAAGCUUGAGGAAGGUGGCUUGAGAUUCGUCUUAAGUGUUUAUAGCCUCUUGCCUAUGCAGUCGGAGAGAUUGAGGUCUGCAGCGUAGAUCCUUCGGGGCUAAAUGCAUUUGUGCUAAGUUAUAGCAUUUUAUAGACAACUUGUUGACUAUGAUUUGUCUUGUAGCUUACUCGCUUAUGUUAUUUUACCUACGCUUAGGAUGUUGAUCUCUCACAGUCGAGC
rnacentral:rRNA from 1 species